rnacentral:rRNA from 1 species
ACGGGGGUUGCGAGCGUUGUCCGGAAUUACUAGGCGUAAAGGGCAGGCAGGCGGAUCUAUAAGUUUUCUGUUUAAGGCAACGGCUCACCCGUUGUAAGGCAAGAGAUACUGUAGAUCUGGAAUGCGGUUGGGGAAAACAGAAUUCCUGGUGUAGCGGUAAAAUACGUGUAGAUCGGGAGGAAUACCAGAUGCGCAGGAGACCUACUAGACAGUAUUUGACGCUGAGAUACGAAGGUGUGGGGAGCAAACAU